rnacentral:rRNA from 1 species
UACAGAGGUCUCAAGCGUUAUUCGGAAUCACUGGGCGUAAAGGGUGUGUAGGCUGCGAAUUAAGUCAGAUGUGAAAACUCCGGGCUCAACCCGGAGCAUGCAUCCGAUACUGGUUUGCUAGAGUGACUUAGGGGGACAUGGAAUUCACAGUGUAGCAGUGAAAUGCGUAGAUAUUGUGAAGAACACCAACGGCGAAGGCAAUGUCCUGGGGGUCUACUGACGCUGAAACACGAAGGCCAAGGGAGCGAACGGG